GGGUGAGUAAUACAUGGGAACAUGCCCUCGAAUGGGGAAUAACGUUUGGAAACGAACGCUAAUACCGCAUAGUCUCGCAAGAGUAAAGGUGGCGCCGUAAGGGCUACCGUUCGAGGAUUGGCCCAUGUCCCAUUAGCUAGUUGGCAGGGUAAUGGCCUACCAAGGCGACGAUGGGUAACUGGUCUGAGAGGAUGAUCAGUCACACUGGAACUGAGACACGGUCCAGACUCC
rnacentral:rRNA from 1 species